rnacentral:rRNA from 1 species
UUCGUAGGUGGUGCGGCAAGUUGGAAGUGAAAUCUCUGGGCUUAACCCAGAGGCUGCUUUCAAAAACUGCCGCGCUCGAGUGCGAGAGAGGUCAGUGGAAUUGCAGGUGUAGCGGUGAAAUGCGUAGAUAUCUGCAGGAACACCCGUGGCGAAGGCGGCUGACUGGAUCGCAACUGACACUGAGGAACGAAAGCUAGGGGAGCAAACAGGAUUAGAUACCCUGGUAGUCCUAGCCCUAAACCAUCGGAACUUGGGGUGGCCCGCGUAGGCGGGUCGUCCCGUAGCUAACGCGUUAAGUUCCGCGCCUGGGGAGUACGGUCGCAAGACUGAA